GCCUGCAAGAUAGGGAGAAUGAGAACAAUCAGCCAGAACUCGAAAUCAAACUUCCAAUCUGGGACUGAUUGCUUGGAGCUCUGAUUGCUUACCUUGUCUGUCACCUCUUUCAGCAGAUCCCCUAGCUCGGCGACUUGGGGGACUCAUACUACAUGGUUUGUAUCGCGCUUGACCAAGCCUAAAACUACAAGUAAGCUUCAAGUGAAAUUGAUACAUUACCUUGUGCAUCUCCACCAGUUAAAGAUACCACCCCUGGAUGGAGGAAGAGUA
rnacentral:lncRNA from 1 species